AUUGAACGCUGGCGGCAGGCCUAACACAUGCAAGUCGAGCGGAUGAAGGGAGCUUGCUCCUGGAUUCAGCGGCGGACGGGUGAGUAAUGCCUAGGAAUCUGCCUGGUAGUGGGGGACAACGUUGCGAAAGGAACGAUAAUACCGCAUACGUCCUACGGGAGAAAGCAGGGGACAUUCGUGACUGGCGAUACCAGAUGAGCCUAGGUAGGAUUAGCUAGUUGGUGAGGUAAUGGCUCACCAAGGCGACGAUCCGUAACUGGUCUGAGAGGAUGAUCAGUCACACUGGAACUUAGACACGGUCCAGACUCCUACGGGAGGCAGCAGUGGGGAAUAUUGGACAAUGGGCGAAAGCCUGAUCCAGCCAUGCCGCGUGUGUGAAGAAGGUCUUCGGAUUGUAAAGCACUUUAAGUUGGGAGGAAGGGUUGUAGAUUAAUACUCUGCAAUUUUGACGUUACCGACAGAAUAAGCACCGGCUAACUCUGUGCCAGCCGCCGCGGUAACAC
rnacentral:rRNA from 1 species